UACGUAGGGUGCAAGCGUUAAUCGGAAUUACUGGGCGUAAAGCGCUCGUAGGCGGCUUGUCACGUCGGGUGUGAAAGCCCGGGGCUUAACCCCGGGUCUGCAUUCGAUACGGGCUAGCUAGAGUGUGGUAGGGGAGAUCGGAAUUCCUGGUGUAGCGGUGAAAUGCGCAGAUAUCGAGAGGAACACCUGCGGCGAAGGCGGGUUGCUGGGCUGACACUGACGCUGAGGCGCGAAAGCCAGGGGAGCGAACGGG
rnacentral:rRNA from 1 species